rnacentral:rRNA from 1 species
CCUACGGGAGGCAGCAGUGAGGAAUAUUGGUCAAUGGACGAGAGUCUGAACCAGCCAAGUAGCGUGAAGGAUGACUGCCCUAUGGGUUGUAAACUUCUUUUAUAUGGGAAUAAAACGUUCCACGUGUGGGAUUUUGUAUGUACCAUAUGAAUAAGGAUCGGCUAACUCCGUGCCAGCAGCCGCGUUAAUACGGAGGAUCCGAGCGUUAUCCGGAUUUAUUGGGUUUAAAGGGAGCGUAGGUGGUUUGUUAAGUCAGUUGUGAAAGUUUGCGGCUCAACCGUAAAAUUGCAGUUGAAACUGGCAGUCUUGAGUACAGUAGAGGUGGGCGGAAUUCGUGGUGUAGCGGUGAAAUGCUUAGAUAUCACGAAGAACUCCGAUUGCGAAGGCAGUUCACUGGACUGCAACUGACACUGAGGCUCGAAAGUGUGGGUAUCAAACAGGAUUAGAUACCCCAGUAGUC